UCCGCGGUAGCUCAAUGGUCAGAGCAUCGCACGCAUAUUGCGAAGACGUGGGUUCGUUCCCCACCUGCGGAA
rnacentral:tRNA from 1 species